rnacentral:rRNA from 1 species
AGUGAACGCUGGCGGUAGGCCUAACACAUGCAAGUCGAACGGCAGCACAGUAAGAGCUUGCUCUUACGGGUGGCGAGUGGCGGACGGGUGAGGAAUACAUCGGAAUCUACUUUUUCGUGGGGGAUAACGCAGGGAAACUUACGCUAAUACCGCAUACGACCUACGGGUGAAAGCAGGGGAUCUUCGGACCUUGCGCGAUUGAAUGAGCCGAUGUCGGAUUAGCUAGUUGGCGGGGUAAAGGCCCACCAAGGCGACGAUCCGUAGCUGGUCUGAGAGGAUGAUCAGCCACACUGGAACUGAGACACGGUCCAGACUCCUACGGGAGGCAGCAGUGGGGAAUAUUGGACAAAGGGCGCAAGCCUGAUCCAGCCAUACCGCGUGGGUGAAGAAGGCCUUCGGGUUGUAAAGCCCUUUUGUUGGGAAAGAAAGGCAGCAGGUUAAUACCCCGCUGUUCUGACGGUACCCAAAGAAUAAGCACCGGCUAACUUCGUG